rnacentral:rRNA from 1 species
GACGAACGCUGGCGGCGUGCCUAAUACAUGCAAGUAGAACGCUGAAGAGAGGAGCUUGCUCUUCUUGGAUGAGUUGCGAACGGGUGAGUAACGCGUAGGUAACCUGCCUGGUAGCGGGGGAUAACUAUUGGAAACGAUAGCUAAUACCGCAUGAUAUUAAUUGUCGCAUGAUAAUUAAUUGAAAGAUGCAAUUGCAUCACUACCAGAUGGACCUGCGUUGUAUUAGCUAGUUGGUGAGGUAACGGCUCACCAAGGCGACGAUACAUAGCCGACCUGAGAGGGUGAUCGGCCACACUGGGACUGAGACACGGCCCAGACUCCUACGGGAGGCAGCAGUAGGGAAUCUUCGGCAAUGGGGGGAACCCUGACCGAGCAACGCCGCGUGAGUGAAGAAGGUUUUCGGAUCGUAAAGCUCUGUUGUAAGAGAAGAACGGGUGUGAGAGUGGAAAUUUCACACUGAGACGUAUCUACCAGAAAGGACG